CGAUGCAUUUCCCUCCUGACGUGUCCCUUGUCGGUCUAACUUUAUCCCUGACACUCUUGCACAAAUGUCUGUCGGCUGCACCAACAGUGGUCCAGUUACCAACCGCGGCCUCGGUUCGGCCGGGAGAACAGUUCAGCUUUGAGUGCAGUUUGGAGGGAGGCAGCAUGAGCAGCUACAACAUGCACUGGUACAGGCAAGUCGGUACGAGCCUGGAGCAUGUCUGCGACGAGUAUGGUUCAUGCGACUCACAAUUUAAACCGCGGUUCACCACUAAGCUCGAAGCUGCACAGAACCGCUUCACUCUGCAGCUCAGCAGCUGCGAGGAGACGGACUCGGCGACCUACUUCUGCGCAGCGAGUCUCGCACGGCGGCUCACGUCUCGGGCUGCCUCAGACAAAAACCUCCCCCGUGAUUCGGCAUUGGUGAUUGAUACAACAGCAGGGGGCAGUAGAGUCAGUUCGUUCGCUGAUGAUGCGCUGGCCCUUGAUGAGGGUACUUCUCCUGAGAGUCGGAGGUCCAAGGGGUAG